rnacentral:rRNA from 1 species
AUUGAACGCUGGCGGCAUGCUUUACACAUGCAAGUCGAACGGCAGCGCGGGCUUCGGCCUGGCGGCGAGUGGCGAACGGGUGAGUAAUGCAUCGGAACGUGCCCAGUAGUGGGGGAUAGCCCGGCGAAAGCCGGAUUAAUACCGCAUACGACCUGAGGGUGAAAGCGGGGGACCGAAAGGCCUCGCGCUAUUGGAGCGGCCGAUGUCGGAUUAGCUAGUUGGUGGGGUAAAGGCUUACCAAGGCGACGAUCCGUAGCUGGUCUGAGAGGACGACCAGCCACACUGGGACUGAGACGCGGCCCAGACUCCUACGGGAGGCAGCAGUGGGGAAUUUUGGACAAAGGGGGCAACCCUGAUCCAGCCAUGCCGCGUGCGGGAAGAAGGCCUUCGGGUUGUAAACCGCUUUUGUUCGGGAAGAAAUCCUCUGGGCUAAUACCCCGGGGGGAUGACGGUACCGGAAGAAUAAGCACCGGCUAACUACGUG